UAGCGGAGAAAUUCCAAUCGAACCUGGAGAUAGCUGGUUCUCUCCGAAAUAGCUUUAGGGCUAGCCUCAAGUGAUGAUUAUUGGAGGUAGAGCACUGUUUGGACGAGGGGCCCCUCUCGGGUUACCGAAUUCAGACAAACUCCGAAUGCCAAUUAAUUUAACUUGGGAGUCAGAACAUGGGUGAUAAGGUCCGUGUUCGAAAGGGAAACAGCCCAGACCACCAGCUAAGGUCCCAAAAUAUAUGUUAAGUGGAAAAGGAUGUGGCGUUGCCCAGACAACUAGGAUGUUGGCUUAGAAGCAGCCAUCAUUUAAAGAGUGCGUAAUAGCUCACUAGUCGAGUGACACUGCGCCGAAAAUGUACCGGGGCUAAACAUAUUACCGAAGCUGUGGAUUGUCCUUUGGACAAUGGUAGGAGAGCGUUCUAAGGGCGUUGAAGCAUGAUCGCAAGGACAUGUGGAGCGCUUAGAAGUGAGAAUGCCGGUGUGAGUAGCGAAAGACGGGUGAGAAUCCCGUCCACCGAUUGACUAAGGUUUCCAGAGGAAGGCUCGUCCGCUCUGGGUUAGUCGGGUCCUAAGCUGAGGCCGACAGGCGUAGGCGAUGGAUAACAGGUUGAUAUUCCUGUACCACCUAUAAUCGUUUUAAUCGAUGGGGGGACGCAGUAGGAUAGGCGAAGCGUGCGAUUGGAUUGCACGUCUAAGCAGUAAGGCUGAGUAUUAGGCAAAUCCGGUACUCGUUAAGGCUGAGCUGUGAUGGGGAGAAGACAUUGUGUCUUCGAGUCGUUGAUUUCACACUGCCGAGAAAAGCCUCUAGAUAGAAAAUAGGUGCCCGUACCGCAAACCGACACAGGUAGUCAAGAUGAGAAUUCUAAGGUGAGCGAGCGAACUCUCGUUAAGGAACUCGGCAAAAUGACCCCGUAACUUCGGGAGAAGGGGUGCUCUUUAGGGUUAACGCCCAGAAGAGCCGCAGUGAAUAGGCCCAAGCGACUGUUUAUCAAAAACACAGGUCUCUGCUAAACCGUAAGGUGAUGUAUAGGGGCUGACGCCUGCCCGGUGCUGGAAGGUUAAGAGGAGUGGUUAGCUUCUGCGAAGCUACGAAUCGAAGCCCCAGUAAACGGCGGCCGUAACUAUAACGGUCCUAAGGUAGCGAAAUUCCUUGUCGGGUAAGUUCCGACCCGCACGAAAGGCGUAACGAUUUGGGCACUGUCUCAACGAGAGACUCGGUGAAAUCAUAGUACCUGUGAAGAUGCAGGUUACCCGCGACAGGACGGAAAGACCCCGUGGAGCUUUACUGUAGCCUGAUAUUGAAAUUCGGCACAGCUUGUACAGGAUAGGUAGGAGCCUUUGAAACGUGAGCGCUAGCUUACGUGGAGGC
rnacentral:rRNA from 1 species